GACGAACGCUGGCGGCGUGCUUAACGCAUGCAAGUCGAACGGUGAAGCUCCAGCUUGCUGGCGUGGAUCAGUGGCGAACGGGUGAGUAACACGUGAGCAACCUGCCCCAGACUCUGGAAUAAGCGCUGGAAACGGCGUCUAAUACUGGAUACGAGAUCAAGCCGCAUGGUUAUGGUCUGGAAAGUUUUUCGGUUUGGGAUGGGCUCGCGGCCUAUCAGCUUGUUGGUGAGGUAAUGGCUCACCAAGGCGACGACGGGUAGCCGGCCUGAGAGGGCGACCGGCCACACUGGGACUGAGACACGGCCCAGACUCCUACGGGAGGCAGCAGUGGGGAAUAUUGCACAAUGGGCGAAAGCCUGAUGCAGCGACGCCGCGUGAGGGAUGACGGCCUUCGGGUUGUAAACCUCUUUCAGCAGGGAAGAAGCGAAAGUGACGGUACCUGCAGAAGAAGCACCGGCUAACUACGUG
rnacentral:rRNA from 1 species